UGUGCCGCGGUCCACCCCUGGGACAAAAACGUUGCGCCCCGGGACCUCUAACCCAGCUUGCUUUGAAAGGAAGCAAGGUAAAAGAAGUGUUUCUGUGUUUAGGUGUGAAGACAAAAAAGAUGACACUCCAGUGGACGGCAGUUGCAACUUUUCUUUAUGCUGAAAUAGGACUCAUUUUAAUCUUCUGCCUGCCUUUUAUUCCUCCUCAGAGGUGGCAGAAGAUUUUUUCAUUUAAUGUCUGGAGUAGAAUUGCAACUUUCUGGAACAAGGCUUUCCUUACAAUUAUCAUCCUAUUAAUUGUCCUAUUUUUAGAUGCUGUGAGAGAAGUAAGGAAAUAUUCCUUUACCCAUACUAUUGAGAAGAGCUCAACCAGCAGCCCCAAUGCCUAUGAACAUACACAGAUGAAACUUUUUAGAUCCCAAAGAAAUCUUUACAUUUCUGGAUUUUCAUUAUUUUUUUGGCUAGUGUUGAGACGCCUGGUGACACUUAUUACUCAACUGGCAAAAGAACUGUCAAACCAAGGAGUGCUCAAAACUCAAGCAGAAAAUACUAACAAGGCUGCCAAAAAAUUUAUGGAAGAGAAUGAAAAACUAAAAUGGGUCUUGAAAAGUUAUGGCAAGGAUGAAGAACACAUUUUGGAAAAAGAAAAUAAAAAACUAGUUGAAGACCAGCAGAAACUGAAAGCUGAAUUAAAGAGGACUUCAGAUGCCCUUUCUAAGGCACAAAACGAUGUGAUGACAAUGAAGGUGCAAUCAGAGAGACUUUCAAAAGAAUACGAUCGACUCCUGAAAGAACACUCAGAACUUCAGCAUUCUUAAUUUCUGUGAAGUUUCAAACAAAAGAAGUAAGCCACAGAAACAGCAGCACUGGAAAACAAACUGCUUCUAGAAAAGAUCGUUUAGGAAAAGGCAACAAGAAAGACCUGUGAACUUUAUGAAAGAAGAUUGUGAUAUGCUGUCAAGAUGAUGGAUUUGUUAUCAUGUUAGCCUCUAGAAAAUUUAAAAUUCAUUUCAGUAAAAUGCAUCAUGACUGGUCAAUAUUUUUUUAAUGCCAUACAUAGGUUGUAUUGUAAUGAAAUUAUCAAAAUAUUUGAUGAUGUUUCAGAUAUAUUGUAAAGUCUGUAUUCCAGCUCUUCAGAAAAAUAGAAGCAUGUUAAAUACCAUUUUACAUAUCAAUAAUAACAUUGGUGUGUGGUGGCUAUUCACCAAUAAAAGGUAAAACUCAUUAGCCAGUUACAUCGAAAAUUAUAUUUUUUAAGUUGCAUGAAACCAUUAAUAGCCUUGAAAACUUUGAUGAAUUCUCAAUAAUAAUAAUCUAUUUAAUCAGAUGAUGAUGUAUUUGAAAAUAGUGUUCAGUAUCAGCAGAUUUGUACAGAGGAAGAGUAAAUAAGGAUAAUUGAUCAGAAUUAGUUGCUGUAUUUAUAGGGAAGAGUCAGAAAGAACAAACAGUGAUCUUAGUUUCUUUUUUUAAGCCUGAUAAUACUAUGGUUUACUGUAAUAAGACAUCUAUUUUGAUAAUUAUGUUUUUGUUACUGUGCUUCACCUAUUUUUUUGUUGGCAUUUGUGUUAAUAACACAUAAUAAGCAUUCUAUCUUUUCAAGUUCAUCUAGUAAUAGAGUUUACAUCUGUUUGCAUAACUAUCAUAGCACUGAACUGUAUUUUACAAGUGUGGAAUUCGUAACUUAAGAAGUUGAUGUAUAACAGACCCAAAAAACAGUGUUUAUUACCUCAAAUAUACAUCCACUGGUGUCAUGCAGUUUUUCUAAGAUGUUUCUAUAUUCUGAAAACUGAAUAUUAAAUACUAUUUUUCCAUUAAAAUAUUUAGAGUUUCCCUUAGAAAUGAUAGUGAUUCUAAUGUUAAUGUGAUUUAGAUUGUUCCAGUGGUUAGACAUGAAAAUCAUCUUCCUUGUCUCAUAAAAACCUAAUAUAAAAGAAAAAGAAAACAAUUACUGGAA